CUGAUCACAAGUACAGUAUGGAGUACCACAAAGCUCAGUACUAGGACCACUGCUUUUCAUGCUUUACAUGCUACCCUUGGGAGAUAUCAUCAGGAAACAUGGUGUUAGCUUUCACUGUUAUGCUGAUGAUUCUUACUGUAGCUCUAUAUUUCUUAACAGCCCGACGAAACAAACCAAUUCACAAAACUAAUGGAAUGCAUAGUUGAUAUAAAAAACUGGAUGACUAGUGACCCUGUGAAUUCAUGAUAUAUAAAUGUUAUUUUAUAUAUAAGAUAAUUUUAUAAAAUACAAAUUUAUAUAUAUAUACAGUAGUGUGUGUGUGUGUGUGUGUGUGUGUGUGUAUUUUUAUUUUGUUAUUAUUAUCAGUGUGUGAGGAAUGUUCUAUUUUCUAUUUUGAUUUUACUUUUCCAGGAUGUUCCUGCACAGUCAGCAUCUGUGGAUUGCAGUGUAUUCAGGCUAAUGGUAACAAGUUAGUUUAUAAAUACAAUUAUAUAUAUAUACAGUAGUGUGUGUGUGUGUGUGUGUGUGUGUGUGAUUUUUAUUUUGUUAUUAUUAUCAGUGUGUGAGGAAAUGUUCAUUUUCUAUUUUGAUUUAUUUUCCAGGAUGUUCCUGCACAGUCAGCAUCUGUGGAUUGCAGUGUAUUCAGGCUAAUGUUGCCAGAUGCUGUCCUGUCGGAAAUACUUGGGUGAUGCUGCAUUGUUAAAUCUGUCUUUGGUUUGUUCCAAAUUCAGAAGUCUGGUGGAUAGAGACUCAUUUCGAAAGAGGGCACACUUCUGCUGGCUUGACAGUGUAACAAAAAUGGAGAACAAAGUCUGAGCCAUGCCAGGAAUUUUACAAAAUGUACACACUGCAGCCCUGCAGACACUGCAAUGAGGUUUACAAGAACUGCUUACCAGGCUAUGUGGAACUGGAUGACGAGUAAUUUCUUACUGUUAAAUUCUGAAGAAACAGAGGUGUUAAUUAACGGACCAAAAACCUCUGCAUGCACUUGUAAAACAGCAUUUUUCCAUCUUAAAGUGGUCCUAUUAUGCUCUUUUACAAGGUCUUGAUUUUGUUUUGGGGGUGUACUAGAACAGGCUCUCAUACUAGGUUGUUCGAAAAAUAUAUUUUUUUCACAUAUUUUACAUUAUUACAACACCUCUCUCCCCAGUCUGCCAUGAACGGCUUGAAUAGUUCCUGCAUCAAAUGAAGGCCCGCCUUCUGAAAUACGAAGUGCGCUGUGAUUGGUUAGCUGUGCCAGUCUGUGUUGUGAUUGGCAGCACUCUGCGCCUGGUCGGGAAAUGUCAUGCCCCUUACCAUAGACUCCCGCUGCGAGCUUCAGUGUAAAUAUUGUGUCAAAAUCAAAUCAAUUUGAGCGUGAUUUAAACCCGGAUGAUUGAAACCACUCCAAGCUUGUCUGCCUUGGGAAAGCUAGCAUGUCUCUGACAUUGUGAUUGCACUCAUUGCCUUCUCUAGUGCAGCUCAACCGGUCUCAGCCCAUUCGUCGAUCUUUGUGAUAUCACAAAUCCCAGAAAAUAUGCGUUGUAGUCCAAACGAGCCAUUCGUUGUAGUUUUUGAAAAGUGAUUUAUGUUAAAUAAAAUGUCUCCUUUUGAAUUGGACUUUGAGCUUUGUAACUUUGCAGAUCUUUUUUAUGCUCAAACAGCAGCAUUACAGACUAACUAAAGUUGAAAAAGUGAAAAAGCAUAAUAGCACCCCUUUAAAAAUAUAUCUAAAUUAUAACCUAUGCUCUCAAUGUCAAAUGCAGAAAACUUCAUUCAUGUGUUCAUGACCUCAAGGUGAGAUUAUUGUAAUGCUUUAUUGGGUGGUUGUCCUGUCAACUCUGCACUGGCUUAUUAUUGAACAUUGAUUAUUAAAUUUAUUUUAAAUAUUGCUAAUUACUUAAUAAAGCCCUGAAUGGCCUCCUCAGUACUUGAAAGAGCUAAAAUCACAUUAUAGUCCUUCACAUCCGCUGCAAUCUCAAAACUCUGGCCAUUUAGUAAUAACAAGAAUAUCAAAAUCAACUGUGGGUGGCAGAUCUUUUUCCUAUUUAGCACCCACACUCUGGAACAAUCUACCUACUGUUUGGGAGGCAGACACAUUCUGCCAGUUUAAAACUAGAUUAAAGAUCCAUCUCGUUAACCUGGCAUACACAUAACACACUAUCACAUUUCUAUUAUUCAAAUAUACAGGUCCUUCUCAAAAAAUUAGCAUAUUGUGAAAAGUUCAUUAUUUUCCAUAAUGUAAUGAUAAAAAUUAAACUUUCAUAUAUUUUAGAUUCAUUGCACACCAACUGAAAUAUUUCAGGUCUUUUAUUGUUUUAAUACUGAUGAUUUUGGCAUACAGCUCAUGAAAACCCAAAAUUCCUAUCUCAAAAAAUUAGCAUAUUUCAUCCGACCAAUAAAAGAAAAGUGUUUUUAAUACAAACAAAAAAAAAAAGUCAACCU
rnacentral:lncRNA from 1 species